rnacentral:rRNA from 1 species
UACGUAGGUGGCAAGCGUUAUCCGGAUUUAUUGGGUGUAAAGGGCGUGUAGGCGGGAAUGCAAGUCAGAUGUGAAAACUCAGGGCUCAACCCUGAGCCUGCAUUUGAAACUGUAUUUCUUGGGUGCUGGAGAGGCAAUCGGAAUUCCGUGUGUAGCGGUGAAAUGCGUAGAUAUACGGAGGAACACCAGUGGCGAAGGCGGAUUGCUGGACAGUAACUGACGCUGAGGCGCGAAAGCGUGGGGAGCAAACAGG